UGGGGAAUAUUGCACAAUGGGGGAAACCCUGAUGCAGCAACGCCGCGUGAGGGAUGAAGGUUUUCGGAUCGUAAACUUCUAUCAACAGGGACGAAACAAAUGACGGUACCUGAAUAAGAAGCCCCGGCUAACUACGUGCCAGCAGCCGCGGUAAUACGUAGGGGGCAAGCGUUAUCCGGAAUUACUGGGUGUAAAGGGAGCGUAGGCGGCACGUCAAGCCAGAUGUGAAAGCCCGGGGCUUAACCCCGUGGAUUGCAUUUGGAACUGGCGAGCUAGAGUACAGGAGAGGAAAGCGGAAUUCCUAGUGUAGCGGUGAAAUGCGUAGAUAUUAGGAAGAACACCAGUGGCGAAGGCGGCUUUCUGGACUGAAACUGACGCUGAGGCUCGAAAGCGUGGGGAGCAAACAGGAUUAGAUACC
rnacentral:rRNA from 1 species